rnacentral:rRNA from 1 species
UGGGGAAUAUUGCGCAAUGGGCGGAAGCCUGACGCAGCGACGCCGCGUGGGGGAUGACGGCCUUCGGGUUGUAAACCUCUUUCAGCAGGGACGAAGUUGACGUGUACCUGUAGAAGAAGCGCCGGCUAACUACGUGCCAGCAGCCGCGGUAAUACGUAGGGCGCAAGCGUUGUCCGGAAUUAUUGGGCGUAAAGAGCUCGUAGGUGGCUUGUUGCGUCUGCCGUGAAGCCCGUGGCUUAACUACGGGUCUGCGGUGGAUACGGGCAGGCUAGAGGCUGGUAGGGGCAAGCGGAAUUCCUGGUGUAGCGGUGAAAUGCGCAGAUAUCAGGAGGAACACCGGUGGCGAAGGCGGCUUGCUGGGCCAGUUCUGACGCUGAGGAGCGAAAGCGUGGGGAGCGAACAGGAUUAGAUACCCUGGUAGUCCACGCUGUAAACGUUGGGCGCUAGGUGUGGGGUGCUUCCACGUGUCCCGUGCCGUAGCUAACGCAUUAAGCG